UAAAUGUGAGGAUUUUCUCUAAAUCCCUCUUCUGUUUGCUAAAUCUCACUGUCACUGCUAAAAUCAGAGCAGAUAGAGCCUGCGCAAUGGAAUAAAGUCCUCAAUAUUGAAAUGUGACAUUGCUCUCAACAUCUCACAUCUCUCUGGAUUUCUUUUUUCUCAUUAUUUCUGCUAACCAAUUCAUUUCCAGACUUUGCACUUUUAAGAAGCAAUGGAAAAAAUCAACAGUCUUUCAACACAAUUAUUAAAGUGCUGCUUUUGUGAUUUCUUGAAGGUGAAGAUGCACACUGUGUCCUACAUUCAUCUCUUCUACCUUGGCCUAUGUUUGCUUACCUUAACCAAUUCUGCCACGGCUGGCCCAGAGACACUUUGUGGUGCUGAGCUAGUUGAUGCUCUUCAGUUCGUAUGUGGAGACAGAGGCUUUUAUUUCAGUAAGCCAACAGGGUAUGGAUCCAACAGUAGACGUUUACACCACAAAGGAAUAGUGGAUGAAUGCUGCUUCCAGAGCUGUGACCUGAGGAGGCUGGAAAUGUACUGCGCUCCUAUCAAGCCACCCAAAUCUGCACGCUCUGUACGUGCUCAACGCCACACUGAUAUGCCAAAAGCACAAAGGGAAGUGCAUUUGAAGAAUACAAGUCGAGGGAACACAGGAAACAGAAACUACAGAAUGUAAGAAAAUGCCAUCCACAAGAAUGAAGAAUGAAUGUGCCAUCUGCAGGAUACUUCACUCAUCCUUCUGUAAAUCAAAAAAGCUAACCUGAUCAUCAGUUAUAAACAACAGGAGGAACAAUCCGCAGGGAGAGGUGAACAGUGCAGUUCUUCAGACUGUAACUUUGUAUUUUUACACGCCCAGAUACCUUGAUGAUGGAGGAAAAAGAUUCCAUGUUUGUAAUUGCUGCCAUUUCACAGGACCAAGCUACGUCACUCUCUGAUACAAGGCUAGAACCGCACUUUAAUAACGAGUGAUGUGGAACCGACACUGUUGCAGAGGGAGCACCAAAAUAAUCCAAUAGGGGAAGUAGUACACAUGAUGAUGGUAUACCCCUUCCAUGUUUGCAACAUAGUUCCACUCCCUGCCUCCGGACAGCUGUCCAUUCUACAUCCCUCAGUAAAUUUUAAAGUGCUAAAUUUAAAUUACUAAAUAUAAGCAAAUAUCCUGACACUAGAAUAUUAUACAAAAUAAGACUUUCCAUUACUACAUAGAAUUUCACUGAAGUUUAAAAGAGAAGAGAAAAUUAAACCUCGCUGUCGAUUAACUAAGUAGGCAAAGGGAGCUCCAUUUUUCACCUAUUGAAAGCAAUGUGGCAAAAGUCGUAGUGUAGACGUAGCCAUAGAGUGAAAUUCACACUUAUGAGGAGGGCCUGAACAAUGCUUAUUAAUUAUUAUUAUUUGGAUUAUGGCAUAAAUAAUAACCAUGAUCCGAGAACAAUGCCAGAGAACACGCAACUGAGAUGUGUCUGUAAGACUUAAGUGGCCCAUACAUUAUUUAUAGGCCUUAAGCAAGAGUGAAUUUCAUUCAUAAGCAGUAGCUAUUUUCAGAUUGCCCCUUCUGUUGAUGGUUGGCAUGUAUGAAUAUAUGCGUGAAGCCUCUGCUAUACCAAGUACAAUGGCUCAAUGGCCCUCAGUUUCAACAAGCAAGUGCAUUAUAAAUCAAAUUCAGAAAAGAAUAUGUUGCAAUUUGCUUUACCUUUUACGCAUUUGGCCUAUAAUGCCAAAGUGGUGCUAUUGUUUUGUUUUAGAAAGUACUUGACUAAAAUAUAAAAGAAAGCUUAUACAUAUUUUUUUAAAGUAUAAAAAUGACAAUUAUAUAGAUAAACUUAUUGAAAUAGAAAUAUGUUUAGCCAUAACUUCAAUUUUUAAUCACAAAAAAGUCAUGAAGAAAUCAACUGAACUAUUGGGAUUGAGCCGGGUAAGGGCUUUCAAACACAAUACAAUUAUCAAUAUUUUAUUCCAAGUGCGUAUUACAGAUGAAGGAAAACAUUAGAGUCAGGAGACCCUGAAUAGGAUUCAAAGCCCAAUGAAGUCAACAGAAGGCUCCAUGUCAUUGAAAUCAAUGGUGAGUGCUGCUUAUAGUCAGUGACAAUGGAUAUAGUUCAGGUUCUAAUUCAGGGGAAUAAUUAACACUCACUAUUUCUACUGCCUGGGCCCCAAUCCUCCACUAUUAGCCCCAAGCAAUUCAAUACGGUUUUUGCUUGUACAGAAAGUAAUGUAAGCAAUGUCUAUGAUUAUGGUGGGAAAUGAAGAAAAAGUAUCGCCAAUAAAAACCGGGUUAUCUUCUAAUACUGAACAAUACUGAGUUGUGAGAAAGAGUUGAAAGAUAUGGCUAACAGUCUGUGAAUUUUUUUUAACGUUUUAUAGUCAACUAUGGACAAUUUAAUGUGCAAAAAAUGACAGUUAAUUGUUUUACUACUUUUUGAAUGAGAGUUAGUAAGUUAAACCCAGAGAUUCUUUGAACCUUUAGGCUAGAAUACUUAUGUUCUGAUGAAGUUAUAAUCCGUCUAUUUAAAAUUAUUUUAAAGUUAUUUUUUAGUCUGAAAAAGAACUGUGAUAAUUUAUUAGGGACUCAAUCUGUACAGCUGGUUACUCUCUUAAGAACAUUUCUUCAAUUCAAACAAACUUUCAAGAUGCCAAAGUUUCACACAAACAGACUUCUCCAUUGUUAUUUUAUCAAAUGGUAAAACUAGCUAAAAUGCCUUUGCAUCACAGUUUUGUUUUUUUAAGAGGAUUUUUGUCACAAAUUUUAAAAAAGUCUAAAUCUGCUCUGGCAAGAUUCCACAGAAAUUAUCCAUUUUACCUGUGGAAAUACAAUAAAGAUAGAUAAAUGGAUCAAAGUUCUAUCUUCAAAUAGGAAAAAAUCAUAAAUGCAAUUUUUGUUCAUCUUAAUUCUACACUACACAUUUUGCUUGUCACAGCAUUGUAAUAUUUUACAGGACUAUCAUUGUCCAACACAAUAUCUGAUAUAGAUAUAUACACAUCUUUUGUUUGAUUUUUACAUGAAGGAGGUUAUAAUAUCUGAAACUUGAUUACAUAUAGUACAGUAUAGAUACCAGUUUAACAGAAACAAAAACAAGGACCUCCCUGAUGCUUACAUUACAUUAGGAAGUCUCAUACCAGUUGCAUAAAGGGUGUAUAUUGUGCUUUUUAAAAAAUCUGCAGUGAAAUUUGACCUACAACAUAUUAAAUUUGUAUUCUCUGCUUCUUACAUAUUUUUCUCGUGAAUUCCUUGCAAGGCCUAUUAUAACUUCAGGACAAGAUUUUAAAAUAUGAGUGGCUAAAUUAGCUCCAACAUCUAUAUUAACUAUGUAAACAGAUGGCCAGAUUUGCAAAAAUGUUGUAAACCUAACAGACCACAUUGAAAACUCAGGCAAACCUAUUUCAGUGCCUAAGUAUGGAUUUAAGACCCUAACUUUAGGCACCCAGUUUUGAAAAUAUUGGCCUAAGUAUCAUCUUUCAUUUCACCCUUCAUUACAUAGCUUUUCUAUGAAAAAUUAUUAAAUGUAAGUCUUCUUGACAUAGUAUCAAACUGAAGAGAGUUUAGAUGUGAGUCACAUAGUGCCAUCUGAAUUACACCUAUGUCAACUAAAGGAGAUUUAUAAAUGAAUUUAAGACUUCAUACCUUCCAAUCAGCCUGACAAAUAUUCAGAGUGAAGAAGACUUUUUCUUCUGGCCAAACUUAAUUGAUGUACAAUAAUUUGAUAAUAGGUAAAAUGUAGCUCAAUGUAUCUUUACUUUUAAUGUAUCCAUUUCUAAUCUGUGUCUAUUCUUUAAUCAUAUUUUGAUCAUGACU